ensembl:lncRNA
AUGUUGGGGCCUGUAGUCUUUCUAAACCCCCAAUCCUGAAUCGGCAGGAUUCUACCCCCUUCCCUGGCACGCGGUGCCCAAACAGGCAGUGAGCUAGCUGUUUAUUAAUGUUGGUGGCAGACUUUCAGGUACCACAGAGGAGAUUCAGCUAGACUGUGAAGAAACCUACUUGUAUCUGGAAGCCAGGAAUACCGGGGAGAAGCCGAUCAAGUUCACAAGAGGUGGAAUUCUUCACAGUUCAAUUCACCUCUAUUUCAUCAAUAAUUUUGGAGCAGCUGCUGGGGAAGGCAGGUGAGAAGU